rnacentral:lncRNA from 1 species
UUUUCUUUUUGAAGUCUUGGCACUGGCAUAGCUACAAUGUGUCAUUAAUUUGCCCUUUAUGAUUGAGUGUUAUGGAUGUGUAGUUUAUCAUUUUGAGAACAGGAGUGUAUGGAAAUGUAGAUUCACAUUUUUGUUUUUCAGUUUCUCGCGUCUUCUUUUGUUUUGUACAAAGAAACUAAUGGCGACUUACUGAUGGCCCAAAAUUCAUCAAGUACUUGCUACUCAAGAACAUCGUUUCAGUGAUUCUAUAUUCUCGGACCGCAGGAAUGGAAAUACGGGUAUAGAAAAUAGAAACGCUGCAGAAGCAAUCAAAAUCUUUUUCAUCAAAGCUGCAGAAGAAGGAUGGGACAACAUAGUCAUUGAAUUGUACUGUAAGCAAGUAGUAGUUGAGAGAACCUUGGAAGGAUGUGUACAGUGGAAACAUGAUGCAUGCACGGUAAACAGUAAAGCCAUUGACUCAUUUUACUUAGGCUUCAUGUCUUGAAUGCAAACUGCAAAGUUGCCGUUUUUGAAAGGGGGGAAAAGAAAAGAAAAAGUUAUAGUUAUACCAUGCAAUAGUAGGCCUAAUAAUGACCUGCGGGAUAGUCUAACUGAACAGAGGUGAUCAUGAGAAGCUUCCACUCUUACUGCGCAUAACUACAUGAAUGGCAAUAAACUGAACAUCAUGUACAUGGUUCCUUAUCCGGUAAUCUCUGAAACCAACAACCGUUGUGGCUGUUGUUGGCCAGGGGCUUUGCACCAUGCCUGGCAAACCAGGGCUCGAAGCUAAGCUAGCUGCCAGGUUGGGGGAAGGGAGGGAUUAGGGGAGAGGGGAAGGUUAAAAAAAAAAAGAGAGAGAACUUUGAAUUUAUUUCACUUCCAACUUUCAAGUUCC